GACGAACGCUGGCGGCGUGCCUAAUACAUGCAAGUAGAACGCUGAAGGAGGAGCUUGCUUCUCUGGAUGAGUUGCGAACGGGUGAGUAACGCGUAGGUAACCUACCUGGUAGCGGGGGAUAACUAUUGGAAACGAUAGCUAAUACCGCAUAAGAGUAGAUGUCGCAUGACAUUUGCUUAAAAGGUGCAAUUGCAUCACUACCAGAUGGACCUGCGUUGUAUUAGCUAGUUGGUGAGGUAACGGCUCACCAAGGCAACGAUACAUAGCCGACCUGAGAGGGUGAUCGGCCACACUGGGACUGAGACACGGCCCAGACUCCUACGGGAGGCAGCAGUAGGGAAUCGUCGGCAAUGGACGGAAGUCUGACCGAGCAACGCCGCGUGAGUGAAGAAGGUUUUCGGAUCGUAAAGCUCUGUUGUAAGAGAAGAACGAGUGUGAGAGUGGAAAGUUCACACUGUGACGGUAUCUUACCAGAAAGGGACGGCUAACUACGUG
rnacentral:rRNA from 1 species